UUCAUUUCGAUACAGAUUUAUUGUAUUUAUCAUCUUCAUAGUGUUAAUUUUUCUCUCUCCUCUGCCUCCUUCUUUGCCUUCCUUCCUUCACACCCAACAAUCUGAACCAUCAAUCCCUCUACCUCAUUAAUUUUGAAGGACAUUCCCCAUCCGUGUCAUCAAUAGUCCCUCUGCCUCCUGGGUCACUCUCCCACUGUGCAAGUGCCCCAGUCAGCUAAGCUCUGUCUGAUCCACGGUGUUGCUCCCAAUCUUGUUGGCAAAGCUCUGACCUCUUCACUCGGUGACACUACGAUCAGAGAUAUUGACCGAUAGUUGACUGGCCCGUGCAGGGUCUCCUUCGCAGGUAGUAGGGUGAGCCCCCUCAGGAGGAUGUGAUUUUUACGUGUUGACAUAACCUUGAUGUUAUGUGAACGCCUGAGGAACCUUGAGGUGUCACCAAUGCGCAUCUUGACGUCUGUUGUGAAUCAUCCUUUGUCACCAUGAAAGCGCUUGUAAUCUGCUCUCUUUAGAAGAAUUUAAUUGAAGCCUGUUAGUGAAAAAUGUGUGUCCUUCUGAACCUUUCUUUUCAUUGUGUAUAAAGUGUAUAUCUGAGGUGAUUUCCAGCGGCUCUUUAUUUUUGAUAAAUUGCGCAGUGUACUCUACAGUAAAUUUGUCACUUGCUAUUUAAACAAAACUGUUGUAGUCUCACACAAACAAGUCCUCGUGGAGAAGAUUAGGAGAGUGUUGCAGAAUGUGAAAGACGCACCAUGAAGAGGUCUUUACUGUUAAGUCCUUUAGCUGAUUGGGAUAAUGAAGAAAUGCAAAAGCUCAUUAAGCAGAUGGAAUGAAAUGCUUAGCUUUAAUGCUAACACACGAUCUGACCCUGGCUAGAUUAGGGAAUGAGUUGUCAGAUUAGGAGUCAACUUGCCGCCUUUCUCAGUCAGGAUAUUGUGUUUUACGUUUGCAAGCAUUUUGAAAUUACAGCAACAAAGACGUAACUUUUUUUUUUGUGAAGGCACUUCUAAAGAAAGAAAAUGGAUUCCUCUCAGAAGUUAAAAGUUAGUUGCAAAAGUUCAAAAUCCUUUAUGAUGGUGGCUGCUUAAUUAAUUAUUUAUUUUGCAAACUUAAUAAGUUUCCCUUAUUGUAGUAAAGAUCCCUAUUUUCUUUGAAUUUCAUCUUCCUUUCUUCACCUACCUCACUUCCUUUCCUUUCCUUAUCACUAAUUGGCUCUUGUUUUCUCACCCUCCACCCCUCAUUUACCUGAUAGAGAUAACCUGGGCACUACAAGAUUAUUUAAGGGCUUCACUCCACUCAUUCACUCUUUUUUCACCUUGGGGUGGCGGUUUCUGAACCUGUAGCCCAUGUGUGUCUUCCUUUUCCAUGUUGAAAUAAUUAACUGAGAAAUAAACCUUUUGUUGGAUUGGAUAUAUGUUUAAUGGCCUUCGUUUAUUCAUCCUGCGUCCUGACCUGACGCUCAUGGUGAUAGUAAAUCUUUUAGUGUACAACUUUUGACUCUAUCCCACAGUUACACCGGCCGCCCAGCCCAGACCAAACAGCAGACAGACAAAGUUAGCCUCCAGUGUAGUGGAGCAAAGUGGAGCAGUCAGCAGAGAAAAAGACAGAUAGUUCCUCCAGAAGUUAUUUGAAACACACCUCCACACUAAUAGUUUCUUGCGCAUCCAGCAGAUGCAGAGCAACAAUAGGCUCUGCAUCUGCUGGAUGUGCAAUAAACUAUGUGCUGACAGGUUCACCAGAUCACAACUUAAAAAGAGAUAAAAUGUUAAUGCAGUGUUUCCAGCAUGUUACUGCAGCAGCA